UUAGUUGCCAUCAUUCAGUUGGGCGACUCUAGCGAGACUGCCGGUAAUAAACCGGAGGAAGGUGGGGAUGACGUCAAAUCAUCAUGCCCCUUAUGACCUGGGCUACACACGUGCUACAAUGGUUGGUACAACGAGUUGCGAGUCGGUGACGGCGAGCUAAUCUCUUAAAGCCAAUCUCAGUUCGGAUUGUAGGCUGCAACUCGCCUACAUGAAGUCGGAAUCGCUAGUAAUCGCGGAUCAGCACGCCGCGGUGAAUACGUUCCCGGGCCUU
rnacentral:rRNA from 1 species